AACGCUGGCGGCGUGCUAAUACAUGCAAGUAGAACGCUGAAGAGAGGAGCUUGCUCUUCUUGGAUGAGUUGCGAACGGGUGAGUAACGCGUAGGUAACCUGCCUUGUAGCGGGGGAUAACUAUUGGAAACGAUAGCUAAUACCGCAUAACAAUGGAUGACACAUGUCAUUUAUUUGAAAGGGGCAAUUGCUCCACUACAAGAUGGACCUGCGUUGUAUUAGCUAGUAGGUGAGGUAACGGCUCACCUAGGCGACGAUACAUAGCCGACCUGAGAGGGUGAUCGGCCACACUGGGACUGAGACACGGCCCAGACUCCUACGGGAGGCAGCAGUAGGGAAUCUUCGGCAAUGGGGGCAACCCUGACCGAGCAACGCCGCGUGAGUGAAGAAGGUUUUCGGAUCGUAAAGCUCUGUUGUAAGUCAAGAACGAGUGUGAGAGUGGAAAGUUCACACUGUGACGGUAGCUUACCAGAAAGGGACGGCUAACUACGUGCCAGCAGCCGCGGUAAUACGUAGGUCCCGAGCGUUGUCCGGAUUUAUUGGGCGUAAAGCGAGCGCAGGCGGUUUGAUAAGUCUGAAGUUAAAGGCUGUGGCUCAACCAUAGUUCGCUUUGGAAACUGUCAAACUUGAGUGCAGAAGGGGAGAGUGGAAUUCCAUGUGUAGCGGUGAAAUGCGUAGAUAUAUGGAGGAACACCGGUGGCGAAAGCGGCUCUCUGGUCUGUAACUGACGCUGAGG
rnacentral:rRNA from 1 species